CCAAGGAAGGCAGCAGGCACGCAAAUUACCCAAUGCCAGUUCGGCGAGGUAGUGACGAAAAAUAACAAUACGGGACUCUAAAGAGGCCUCGUAAUUGGAAUGAGUACAAUAUAAAUCCUUUAACGAGGAUCCAUUGUAGGGCAAGUCUGGUGCCAGCAGCCGCGGUAAUUCCAGCUACAAUAGCGUAUAUUAAAGUUGCUGCGGUUAAAAAGCUCGUAGUUGUACUUUAGUUCAUGAAGAGCGGUGCGCCUGACUGGCGUCUCUGCUCUCUCACUGAACAUACGCUCAAUUGACCGGAGAUCCUCUUCACCGAGUGUCUCCGGCGAAUGAUAUCUUUUACUUUGUCGAAAUUUGAGUGCUUAAAGCAGGCUGAAUGCCUAUAAAAUCUUACAUGGAAUAAUGGAAAAGGACCUCGGUUCAAUUCUGUUGGUCUUUCGAACCUUUGGUAAUGAUUAAAAGGGACAGACGGUGACAUUCGUAUUGCGGCGCUAGAGGUGAAAUUCUUGGACCGUCGCAAGACGAACGACAGCGAAAGCAUUUGUCAAGAAUGUUUUCAUUAAUCAAGAACGAAAGUUAGAGGUUCGAAGGCGAUCAGAUACCGCCCUAGUU
rnacentral:rRNA from 1 species